GACAAAGUCCCAGCAG
rnacentral:rRNA from 1 species